rnacentral:misc_RNA from 1 species
GCUGUCAAAUAUUGAAGUUGAAAAAAUGAAAUUAGUUGAAGUCUGAAUUUUACCCGUAUGAAUUAUUACAUGUAAAAUGCCGAUAUAAACAAAAAUAAUGGCGCAAAAUUUACAGAAAAAACCCUCCAAGGGCAUAUUGAAGACGUCUCGUAGCGUCGAUGGCUCUGACGGAAUGCCAUCUUGCAGUAAGCGAGCGAAAGAACAGAGAUUUGAUGAAAUGAACAUUAUGGAGACUUUUCAUCCACCGAAUAAGGACUAUGGUCACAUGAAGGUAGAAGAACCUAAAACGCCUUUUUCGGAGACGGUAGACGGUGAUUUGGAACCAAAUGAUGAAUUAGAUGCUAAUCUACUCGCAGCUAAGUUAGCUGCCAGCAUGAACAAGCCGCCGAAGUGCGUGGAGUCCUGUGACGAUAGUGACGAGGACAUGGAGGAGCCGGAGGAAGUACGCCGAAAGCGUAUCGAGUUCGAGAAGAAAAGGAAAAUGCAUUACAAUGAAUUCCAGGCAUUACAACUGGCUCGACAGCUGAUGGCUCAAGAAGAUGACGAAGAUAAUGACGACAAAGCUGAGAAGUCUACCACCUGACUGCCAGAGAUGGCCCUCAUACUGCAAGAAACAUACAUUGGCUUCAAGCUGGUUUGGUAUUAAUACCACUAGAAGUUGAAAGAAAAGUGUUCAAAAUGGUUUGCAGAAUAAUUAGGUCGGAGGUCCAUUGAUUCUUAAUGGGAAAGAAAAUCUAUUCUUAUGAGUUACAUACCAAACUAAUUAAUUUAACUAAGAAAUAUUUUCAUUUUCCGUCACUUUACAUUUAAUUGGGUUUUGAAAUACUCAAACUAAACCGUUAUGUGUUUUAGUGUCUACAAAUGUGUGCUAAAAAUAAUUAUGCUGUUGAAAAUAUAAAGGAGGUUAUGAAAAAUAUUGAAUAAAAAAAAUCUCGUUGAGUUUAAAUCACUACCUACCACAAAACAAGUUCUUGAAAAUAUGACACAUAAAAAUUUUUGGCGCCAAUAUUUCGUUACUUCAAUCCCAAUAAUUUGACACUUGUCUUGUCAAUGUCCUGAUGUUACCUACCGUAAGUCUGUAAACCAUGGUUUGAUUCGAAGCUGACUUUAUUAUGACAUACAUAGAAUUAGUUCAAAUAUUUUAUAAAAAGCACUUGUAAUCAAUUUAUAAUUUGUCGUAAACGCAGAAAUUACAUGAUUUAUAUUUAAUAUAACUUUUUACUUAACAUUUCUAUUAAUUGUAGUGUAAGUUAUCCUUAGAUUUGCAUCACAUAACAAUGGUAUUUUCUAAUGCUUUUCUCCUUGUACUGGCUUCCAAAAUUUGGAAGUCUUAAUAGUAUAAUUUGAAAAAUGUAUUAUUGCAUUAUGUGCCAAGUACGUACAUAUUGUACGUCUUUAAUGAUUAAAAAGAAAACUAUUAUCUUCUAUUUUACUAUAUAAUUUUCUUUAAUAUUCAUUUGCAUAUCUAUGCAUUUAAUUAGUAUACUUUUUAAAUAUAUUUUACUUAAUUCGACAGAUUCAUGUAUAUUUACGAAAUUUUAUAAAAUGUUCAAAAUGUCAUUUUAAUUUGAACAAAAAAACUUGUAUUUAGUUUUAAUAUAUAAAUGCGUGUUUGUGAAUGCGUUUGAUGUAACAGUUUCAUAAUAUUAAAUCGAUAAGUUUCAGAAACAUGAUUGAUUGUAAUUAACCGUUUUAAACGGUAAAAAAUAAUUUAAGUCUCAUUGCCUUGGAUGCCUGCAACUAGAAAUAUUUAUAUAAUCAAAUUCAAUUAAUCUACUGCGUUUUAUAUGAAAUUAAAAAUAUUUGCAAGUGGAUUAUUGGGGUAGUUGAUUGGUACAUGAUAUACCUACUUAUUGAAACGUACGAUAUUUUGGAAAGAAAUUAUUUGAAAUCGACUAUCUUUAAAAAUCUCUGUAAUAGAAAGCAAAGUAUUGGCAGUACGUAAUGCAUUACGUAUUGUUCAUUUAAAACACUUAUCUACAGUACAUAGGAACGAGUUUAAUUUAGUAUUGUCCUACGCGUGUCUUAUGAGAAAUAAAAAUUGAAAUUUUGCUAUCGUGUUCACAUUUAGUAAAUUAUUAAUGUAUCUAUAAGAGAAUACAAAAUAUUAAAAUUUCAUUGAAUUUUUCGAGUUGCAGGGCAUAUCGUGACUGGGGUUUCUCUGCGUCAAAGUAUAAUCCGUUCCUGUCUGAAGAGUUGAUAACUCUUUUUUUUUAAAUGUAUGAAGUAUAAUUCGAUAUCUUUUCUCGAGAUGAGAAUCAGAAUUGCCAUUAUAGUGUCUAUGGUGGCCACGGUCUCGCUUAUUAUCAGACGGGCCACCAGCAAAAAUGGGCGUAUAGUUCUCAAUAUUACAAAUGCGUUCGACAUGGUCUUACAAUGUCAAUUCCUAAGUUUACUUAGGCAGCGGCUGUCAGUUUUUUUAAUGUUCGGACAUCAGUCGAGGUUGCCGCUUCGAUAUCUCACUACAAGGCUUGAUGGUUUACAUUUCGCUUUUGUUUUGAAAUGAUUGAUAGAGCAUCUUGCUGCUAUGAAGUUUUUCUCACACAGAAUUCGAAUUACAAAUACCCUCGUAUAAAUAACCUCGGCGAGUUGGCGAUGUUGGCGUCUCGUAUGCAGCUUUAAUGUGUCCCUGGCAUUGCCCAUGUCCAAGAACGACGGCGACCACUCACCAUCAGAUCAGCUCGUCUACCAUCGAAGCCUUUUAAAAAGUCCUUCACUAGAUCCUUUCAAAUUCAUCAAUUUCGGAAAAUUAUGCAAAUUACGCGGAAUAAAAAUAUUAGAAUUAUUUACUCUGCAAUUACUAAUCCGAGAGGCGUUUACGUAAUAGAUUCUCGUAUAAUUAGUCUUAACACUGAGAGGACGCUGAACGGACGAAAGCUCACGCGUUCUUGUUUCCAGGUAUUUCCUAAGCGAAACUUAUAGCAUGCGUAAAAUAUAAUUAAAUUCAAAAUAAGACUUAGAUCAGUGAACAUAUUCGAAUGAUGUUGAUCGAGAUCAUUAAUUCAUCUCUUAACAUGUGUCUCGAUUUUCAGAAUUGCCAGGUAAGUAAUACAAUUAUAUGUUUUUCGUGAUUAAAGUGGGUCAGACGAGGAAGGACAAAACUCAUUGUCUGAAAAGUUAAUGUAAACAACACGUUUUAUAUCAGUGCAGACUUUUAUCUCUUUGUAGAGUGAGCAGAAAAUAAAUAAAUUUGGUGUUGCAAGUAUCCAUUGCACGAAAAUGUUCAAAUAAAUUGAUUGUUACAUGUAUGUUGUUGUUAGAUGCUUCGUAAUUAAAUACAGGGCUUUCCUAGAGCGAUGCGAUACUUAUAUUCUAGAAGAAUUAAUUAUUUUAUAUUUAACCUAGUGGUUGUUGAAAAUAUAAUAUGUAAAUUGUAUAUUAGGUAACUAACAUUUUCCAUAGAAAAUUAUAUGAUAUUUCGGUUUCACAAUUCUGUGUUUGUUUCGCUUUGUAACACGAUUCGCAACAAUUUGUAUCUCCGCUUAUUAAAAUAAUUAUUUUUAUUAACAUGUUUGAGAAAUUUUCAUUAUUUUUCUCGAUUCCUCACUCGACAUCACUGGUUUUACUGGUUAAUUGUAGUCGUGCAUUCUGGUUUGAAGAUUGGAACAACCAAACAAUCGAGACUUCGCCCUUAACGCGGGUUACCGCAUUUACGUUGUGAUGUUUAUGGUCAACCUACGAAUGCCCGUGAGGGGUUUAUCCAUCAAUGCAAUUUAAAUAAUAAAACGUGAAAAUGUCGUAACUGUGUUUUUGUACAGAAUGUUGCUUUUAUUUUAGAUGCAUGUGUAAACUGUAAAUAACGAUGGAUUAAUAAAAUAAUAAAAAUAUU